rnacentral:rRNA from 1 species
CCUACGGGAGGCAGCAGUGAGGAAUAUUGGUCAAUGGGCGCGAGCCUGAACCAGCCAAGCCGCGUGAAGGAUGACUGCCCUACGGGUUGUAAACUUCUUUUAUAAAGGAAUAAAGUGAGGCACGUGUGCCUUUUUGUAUGUACUUUAUGAAUAAGGAUCGGCUAACUCCGUGCCAGCAGCCGCGGUAAUGCGGAGGAUUCGAGCGUUAUCCGGAUUUCUUGGGUUGAAAGGGAGCGUAGAUGGGUUGUUAAGUCAGUUGUGAAAGUUUGGGGCUCAACCGUACAAGUGCAAUUGAUACUGGCAGGCUUGAGUACAGUUGAGGUAGGCGGAAUGCGUGGUGUAGCGGUGAAAUGCUUAGAUAUCACGAAGAACUCCGAUUGCGAAGGCAGCUUACUAAACUGCCACUGACGUUGAUGCGCGAAAGUGUGGGGAUCAAACAGGAUUAGAUACCCUUGUAGUC